rnacentral:rRNA from 1 species
GAUUAUGGCUCAGGAUUAACGCUGGCGGCGUGCCUAAUACAUGCAAGUCGAAUGGUAGUAGCAAUACAAACCAUGGCGAACGGGUGAGUAACACGUAGGCAACCUGACUUUAAGACGAGGAUAACCGUUGGAAACGACGGAUAAUACUGGAUAGGACAUCACAAAGGGCAUCCUUAGAUGUUUAAAGGUUAUCAUGCCACUUAGAGAGGGGCCUGCGGCGCAUUAGCUAGUUGGUGAGAUAACAGCCCACCAAGGCGAUGAUGCGUAGCCGGACUGAGAGGUUGAACGGCCACAAUGGAACUGAGAACGGUCCAUACUCCUACGGGAGGCAGCAGUAGGGAAUUUUCGGCAAUGGGCGCAAGCCUGAACCCGAGCAACGCCGCGUGAACGAAGAAGUUAUUCGUAAUGUAAAGUUCUUUUAUCUGGGAAGAAAAACAAAUUGACGGUACCAGAUGAAUAAGCUCCGGCUAACUACGUGCCAGCCGCAGC